GAUGAACGCUGGCGGCGUGCCUAAUACAUGCAAGUCGAGCGAACAGACGAGGAGCUUGCUCCUUUGACGUUAGCGGCGGACGGGUGAGUAACACGUAGGUAACCUACCUAUAAGACUGGGAUAACUUCGGGAAACCGGAGCUAAUACCGGAUAAUAUUUCGAACCGCAUGGUUCGAUAGUGAAAGAUGGCUUUGCUAUCACUUAUAGAUGGACCUGCGCCGUAUUAGCUAGUUGGUAAGGUAACGGCUUACCAAGGCAACGAUACGUAGCCGACCUGAGAGGGUGAUCGGCCACACUGGAACUAAGACACGGUCCAGACUCCUACGGGAGGCAGCAGUAGGGAAUCUUCCGCAAUGGGCGAAAGCCUGACGGAGCAACGCCGCGUGAGUGAUGAAGGUCUUCGGAUCGUAAAACUCUGUUAUUAGGGAAGAACAAACGUGUAAGUAACUGUGCACGUCUUGACGGUACCUAAUCAGAAAGCCACGGCUAACUACGUG
rnacentral:rRNA from 1 species